CGGUUUAUAAUGCAUGUGUAUCUUUGAAAUUAACAGGAUGUCUUUCCCUGUCUGUCUUCACGCCUCUCUUCAGCCUCAUAACAUCUAAAAGGAAGAAUAAUAUUUUAUUAAUCAGUAAUAUUUUUAUUUGCGAUACAACAUUAAUUUUUUUUAUAAAAAUCAAAGAGCAGAAGAAAAAAGAAGAGCGCUCACAUAUCCUAAAUCCGUUGGUAUUCUUAAUAAAUAUAUUGUACAAACAAACUAUUGUUUUGUUAUACUGGCGUUAUCUUUACAUUUUUUUAAUAUUUCAGUAUAUUAAAAUUUGAUAAGUUUUCUUAUGUCAUCAUAGUGUGAUAAUUAAAAUAUUUAUUUGUGUGUAAAUCCAUUAAAAUAAAAAAAAAUUAAGCAUUAGUUUACAACAUCACGUACCAAAAACUGACAGAAUUUGUAUGUUUAAAAAAAAAAAUAUUUUGUAUUGACAGAACCAACAUCAAACUAUAAAAUAUUGUGUAGCAUGUGUCAUGGAUUGUGAAUUUAUGUAUAUACAAACUUGUUUCUUCUAUUGUAUAUACAGUUUGGAGGAUAAAAGAGCAAAUGAACGAAAGAUAACUAACACAACAGUUGCGUGGUCAUGUGAUCAGGUUGUAGGGGAUAUUCAUUAUGCGGUUCAUACGGUAGUUCAUGGUAGUGUCCUUCUUCUCCGCCGUGACUGCCGGUGAGAUCUUCAAUUUGAGAAUUUCAACACUCUGUUCCAUCUUCUUCUACAAUUUCACUACAAUAUCUUGCGUUCUUUUUUCGAUCAAGUGUCUAA
rnacentral:lncRNA from 1 species